AGCCUCAGGUUUUCAAGGAACAAAUUGAGCAACUAAAGGAAAAGGAAAAAGUCCUAGCAGCUGAAAAUGCAAGGCUAUGUGAGAAGUGUGGUAUUCAACCACAGCAAGGAUCAAAUGAGC